UUUUACCCACUGUGAAUAAAGUUAUCAGGUUAAUUUUGCUUUCUGUUCGCAGUCCGUAGGUAUCCUCUUAUAGGGUGUGCGGGGACUUAGAAGAAGAUGACCAAAGCCAGUCUGUAUAAAUUGCAACAGGGGGAAAGUUUAUGGAGAUACACCAGAAGAUAAAAACAGAAUACACCUUUCGGUUUCUACAGAAGAUACCUUCUCCAGUAGAGUAAAAAGAGAAAAAAAACCAAAGACACCAACAAUAGAUUUUGAGUUGCAAGACACCAAACAACUGUUUGACAGUGUUAAAACUACGUCUUCAGUUUGGUUAGGUAGGGCCUUCUCAUCCAUGUUCCAAGCCAGCUUCCUCAGCUCCACUCUGAGAGAAUAAUCUCCAGAAGGUUUUGGAGUGAGAAAAGGGACCUUGGCUGGAUUUUUCUACCUACCUUCCCUCUCUAUCCAGGAGCUGGCGAGAUCAUCAUGGGACCGAAAUCCGAAGGCUCUGGGAUAUCGCUGGUGGAUAAUUGGCAGUUUCGUGGAACUAGCCUGGCAAAUUUCACCAAUAUUCCCCCUGGACACGGCUCUAGGCUGUGAGAAGCAGCGAGGCCCCGUGGAGAGAGCUCAGGUCUUGGCGUCAAGAGACCUGGGUUCUAAUCCCAGUUUGGCCAUUGCUUACCCUGUUAUCUUGGGCAAGUCACCUGACUUCUCUGUGCCUCAAUUUUCUCAUCCGUUCUGUCCCCCGCUUUGA
rnacentral:lncRNA from 1 species